rnacentral:rRNA from 1 species
UGGGGAAUAUUGCGCAAUGGGCGAAAGCCUGACGCAGCGACGCCGCGUGAGCGAUGAAGGCCUUCGGGUUGUAAAGCUCUGUCGGAGGGGACGAAACAUUUGCGGGAGUAAUACCCUGCAUAUUUGACGGUACCCUCAAAGGAAGCACCGGCUAACUCCGUGCCAGCAGCCGCGGUAAUACGGAGGGUGCCAGCGUUGUUCGGAAUUACUGGGCGUAAAGCGCGCUAUGGCCGUUUGCGAAGUCUGGUGUGAAAGCCCCCGGCUUAACCGGGGAAGUGCGCUGGAAACCAGCAAGCUUGAGUGCGGUAGGGGAUCGUGGAAUUCCUGGUGUAGCAGUGAAAUGCGUAGAUAUCAGGAGGAACACCGGUGGCGAAAGCGACGAUCUAGGCCGUAACUGACGCUUAAGCGCGAAAGCAUGGGGAUCAAACAGG